UGCUGAAGGGUUUCCAUGUUUUCUGGUCUGGCAAAUCACUUAUCACAAAUCAGUCCAUAGCUUUCUAUAUAUACGUUCUUUUUUCCCUCAUCUUAUUUCUUUUCCCUUGCUUUCUUUGCCCUUAUCAGUUUAAGAAGGUUUUGUUUACUCACUGAAAUUUUAAUAUAUUCCUGGAGUAAACCAUAUAUGUUUUAGUCUCCUGUGUUUAACCAGUGUUUUGCAUACUCUUUUAAAAGUCUAGCUAAUAAUUCUACAUACCAUUAUUAACCUCGUUUUAUAGAUGACCAAAACAAGGAUGGAAAAAGAUAAAUAACUUGCCCAAAGUUGUACAAAUAGUGAGUGGUAAUUCCACUUACUAAUACAAAUCAUGUUCUUUUCUUUUCAGCACACUGCCUUUUACUGCAAGACACAGUUCCUGUUUUAAGGAGUUUAUAGUUUCUGUGGGGAGAUACGACAAGUGCAUGGAUAUUAGAUAGAAUGCAUUAAAUGUCAGGAACAAGGAAAAUGGCCUAAUGUGCAAUGGGAACUCAGAGGUUUGGUGCACGGAUGCUUACAAGAGUCUGCCAGGCUGUCUCUUCCUUCCGCCCACCCCUGCCUCUGACUCAGCAGUCUGAAUCCAGAGUACUUAGGAUCUCUGUGGCUGCUUGAAGCACGGGCCUAAUAGUUGGUGCCCAAAGGGUAUGUGUAACAUGCUCACAGUGAUUGAAAGGACAAGUGCCUUCAAUUUGUUCAGGUGGAGCUUCAGAGUACAUGCCUAGCAUGAGCUGAUGCUGUGCUUUGACUUAGGAAAUACAGCUGCCCAAGGCAGUAUGAAAACGCUGGCCCUCCUAAAAUGAAAAUCACCUUCAUUGUUGACAUUUUUCUUCCAUUAGUCCUUUCCUGUCCUUUUGGACAAUGGCUUAGGCCUGAUUUAGCCAUUGUCUGUAUUAGUAAGUCUUAAUCAUGCCCUGAAGAUGUGUAUGAACCAAAUAUGUUCUUUUUUAGAAAUAAUAUUUUCCCCAUCUCUUUUUCAUUCAUUUGUUCAUUCAUUUAUAGUUAAGAAAAUAUAAAUGAAUAGUUUAGUUAGUAUAGUCUUAUUUUGUGGUCAGAUAGUGCAGGUAUUUGCUCUAAGGCUGAAGUACAGAACUGUGGUCAUGCACAGUGAUUAUCAUUUAAAAAUUUAGACCUGCGUAUUUAAGGUGAUAGAAUUCCAGUUAAUUUGAUUAUCAUUGUAAUGCAACAGCAGCCAGGCAGCUUUUCUUCUGUUUAUUCUCUUCUUAAUUUUCUCUAAAUAAUGUAAUGUAAUUCAGAAGCCUUGGAGUUCCUGUCGUGGCUCAGUGGUUAAUGAAUCCUACUAGGAACCAUGAAGUUGUGGGUUCGAUCCCUGGCCUCGCUCAGUGUGUUAACGAUCCGGUGUUGCCGUGAGCUGUGGUGUAGGUCACAGAUGCAGCUUGGAUCCCACGUUGCUGUGGCUCUGGCGUAGGCCUGCGGUUACAGCUCCAAUUGGACCCCUAGCCUGGGAACCUCCAUAUGCCAUGGGUGUGGCCCUAGAAAAGACAAAAAGCCAAAAAGCCAAAAAAAAAAAAAAACUUUCAAUGCCAUGACCUGUGGUUCAAGUCACAGACGUGGCUCGGAUACUGUAUUGCUUUNAAAAAAAAAAAAAAAAAAA
rnacentral:lncRNA from 1 species